CUAUCAAUGACUCCGGACGCUCGCUCGUGCUUGAACUACCGUGUGAUAAAGACUUGAGUGCAGUGGAAGCCGCAUAUGUACCUGUAAUGAAAAUGGACUUCGAUGGCAUCUAUACCGACGUAUUGUAAGAGACUUCUGUUGCGGCAAAUCCCAGGUAAACGAGGCGGAUCGAGAUCACGUGAUGCCCAUCAUAACUCCUGCCUACCCACAACAAAAUUCAACGUUCAACGUGUCCGCU